CCGUCUUGAAACACGGACCAAGGAGUCUAACAUGUGCGCGAGUCACUCGGUCUUGUUUAGGCCAGAGAGGCGCAAUGAAAGUAAAGUUUAUUGAGUUACGAUCCUUACGCAGUUAUCCCUUGUGGGUAACGGUAGGGCGCAGUAACAGCCCGCCAGUUUCGCCUAUUGACGAUGUGGCGGAGUUGUAGCGUACACGUUGGUACCCGAAAGAUGGUGAACUAUGCCUGGGCAAGACGAAGCCAGAGGAAACUCUGGUGGAGGUCUGUAGCGAUUCUGACGUGCAAAUCGAUCGUCAGACCUGGGUAUAGGGGCGAAAGACUAAUCGAACCAUCUAGUAGCUGGUUCCUUCC
rnacentral:rRNA from 1 species